GACGAACGCUGGCGGCGUGCUUAACACAUGCAAGUCGAACGGAAAGGCCCUGCUUUUGUGGGGUGCUCGAGUGGCGAACGGGUGAGUAACACGUGAGUAACCUGCCCUUGACUUUGGGAUAACUUCAGGAAACUGGGGCUAAUACCGGAUAGGAGCUCCUGCUGCAUGGUGGGGGUUGGAAAGUUUCGGCGGUUGGGGAUGGACUCGCGGCUUAUCAGCUUGUUGGUGGGGUAGUGGCUUACCAAGGCUUUGACGGGUAGCCGGCCUGAGAGGGUGACCGACCACAUUGGGACUGAGAUACGGCCCAGACUCCUACGGGAGGCAGUAGUGGGGAAUAUUGCACAAUGGGCGGAAGCCUGAUGCAGCAACGCCGCGUGCGGGAUGACGGCCUUCGGGUUGUAAACCGCUUUCGCCUGUGACGAAGCGUGAGUGACGGUAAUGGGUAAAGAAGCACCGGCUAACUACGUG
rnacentral:rRNA from 1 species